rnacentral:tRNA from 1 species
GCAGUCGUGGCCGAGUGGUUAAGGCGAUAGACUAGAAAGCCAUUGGGGUCUCCCCGCACAGGUUUGAAUCCUGUUGACUGCG